UACGAAGGGUGCGAGCGUUAUUCGGAUUGAUUGGGCGUAAAGGGUGCGCAGGCGGAAUGUUAAGUCAACUGUUAAAUUUCCCGGCUUAACCGGGAGUCAGCGGUAGAUACUGGCAUUCUUGAGGGUGGAAGAGAGAAGUGGAAUUCUCGGAGUAGCGGUAAAAUGCGUAGAUCUCGAGAGGAACACCGAUGGCGAAGGCAGCUUCUUGGUCCAUUUCUGACGCUCAUGCACGAAAGCGUGGGGAGCAAACAGG
rnacentral:rRNA from 1 species